UCAAGCAAUAAGGGCACAGGGCGGAUGCCUUGGCACUAAGAGCCGAUGAAAGACGUGAUAAGCUGCGAUAAGCUUCGGGGAGGAGCAAAUAUCCAUUGAUCCGGAGAUUUCUGAAUGGGGAAACCCACACGAGGAAACCUCGUGUAUCCAUACGCCAAUCCAUAACGUAUGGAGGGGAACCCGGGGAACUGAAACAUCUAAGUACCCGGAGGAAAAGAAAGAAAACUCGAUUCCGUAAGUAGCGGCGAGCGAACGCGGAGGAGCCUAAACCGGAAUGCGUGCAUUCCGGGGUUACGGACUGCAUUUAAGAUUCUUUGAAGCUAACAGAACGGUUUUGGGAAAGCCGGCCGCAGAGGGUGAAAGCCCCGUACGUGAAAGCUGAUGAGACUGAGCAGGAUCCAGAGUACCACGAGACACGUGGAACCUUGUGGGAAAUCAGGGGGACCACCCCCUAAGGCUAAAUACUACUUAGUGACCGAUAGCGCAUAGUACUGUGAAGGAAAGGUGAAAAGGACCCCGGGAGGGGAGUGAAAGAGAACCUGAAACCCUGUGUCUACAAGCUGUGGAAGCACUUUAUAUGUGCGACCGCGUACUUUUUGUAGAACGGUCCGGCGAGUUACGCUUACUGGCAAGGUUAAGCACUUCAGGUGCGGAGCCGUAGGGAAACCAAGUCUUAAGAGGGCCUUAAGUCAGUAGGAGUAGACCCGAAACCGGGUGAUCUAUCCAUGUCCAGGUUGAAGCUGCCGUAAGAGGUAGUGGAGGACCGAACCCACAUCCGUUGAAAAGGGUGGGGAUGAGGUGUGGAUAGGGGAGAAAUUCCAAUCGAACCCGGAGAUAGCUGGUUCUCCUCGAAAUAGCUUUAGGGCUAGCCUCGAUACAGAUUUGCGGAGGUAGAGCACUGAAUUUCCUAGGGGGCGUCAAAGCCUACCGAAGAAUAUCAAACUCCGAAUGCCGCGUAAUCGAUUAUCGGGAGUCAGACUGCACGAGAUAAGUUGGGCGGUCAAAAGGGAAAGAGCCCAGACCUUCAGUUAAGGUCCCCAAGUGCGCGUUAAGUGGAAAAGGAUGUGGGAUUUCGAAGACAACCAGGAUGUUGGCUCAGAAGCAGCCAUACAUUCAAAGAGUGCGUAAUAGCUCACUGGUCGAGAGGUCCUGCGCCGAAAAUGUCCGGGGCUGAAACACAACACCGAAGCUUAGGAAUGUAGUAAUACAUUGGUAGAGGAGCAUUCUGUACGGGAUGAAGCAGUACCGAUAAGGAGCUGUGGACUGUAUAGAAGAGAGAAUGCCGGAAUGAGUAGCGAGAUGGAGGUGGGAAUCCUCCAGGCCGAAUAUCUAAGGUUUCCAGAGUAAAGCUGAUCUGCUCUGGGUAAGUCGGGGCCUAAGGCGAGGACGAGAGUCGUAGCCGAUGGACAACAGGUGGAGAUUCCUGUACUGCGGUAUGACAGAACUGUGGGGACACGUAAGGAAAGCGGAAGCCGGGAAUGGAAAGCCCGGUGCAAGCGGGGUACCAGUCACUUUGGCAAAUCCGGGUGGCAAUGGGAAGCCGUGAUGCGGAGCGAAAUAAAGUAGCGAAGUCCGUGAGCCAUGCGUCAAGAAAAGCCGCUAUUGUUUAUACCGUACCCGUACCGUAAACCGACACAGGUGGAUGAGGAGAGAAUCCUAAGGCCGGCGGAAGAAGCAUUGUUAAGGAAUUCGGCAAAAUGACCCCGUAACUUCGGGAGAAGGGGUGCCUGCGAGAGCAGGCCGCAGAGAAUAGGCUCAAGCAACUGUUUAGCAAAAACACAGGUCUAUGCGAAACCGAAAGGUGAGGUAUAUGGGCUGACGCCUGCCCGGUGCUGGAAGGUUAAGAGGAGAGGUUAGAGCAAUCGAAGCUUUGAAUUGAAGCCCCAGUAAACGGCGGCCGUAACUAUAACGGUCCUAAGGUAGCGAAAUUCCUUGUCGGGUAAGUUCCGACCCGCACGAAAGGCGUAAUGAUUUGGGCACUGUCUCAACAAUGCACCCGGUGAAAUUGAAAUACCAGUGAAGAUGCUGGUUACCCGCGCCAGGACGGAAAGACCCCAUGGAGCUUUACUCCAGUUUGAUACUGGGAUUCGGUACUGCAUGUACAGGAUAGGUGGGAGACGGAGAAGGAUGGACGCCAGUCUGUCCGGAGUCGCUGUUGGGAUACCACCCCUGUAGUACUGGGUUUCUAACCAGUUGCCAUGAACUGGCAAUGGGACAAUGUCAGGCGGGGAGUUUGACUGGGGCGGUCGCCUCCGAAAGGGUAUCG
rnacentral:rRNA from 1 species